rnacentral:rRNA from 1 species
UACAGAGACUGCAAGCGUUAUUCGGAUUCACUGGGCGUAAAGGGUGCGCAGGCGGUUGGGUGUGUCAGAUGUGAAAUCCCUCGGCUCAACCGGGGAACGACGCAUGAAACUGGCAAGCUAGAGUACCAAAGAGGGGGGUGGAAUUCCUGGUGUAGCGGUGAAAUGCGCAGAUAUCAGGAGGAACACCUAUUGCGAAGGCAGCUCGCUGGGACGUAACUGACGCUGAGACGCGAAAGCGUGGGGAGCAAACAGG